rnacentral:rRNA from 1 species
CAAAUGAACGUGUAAUUAAAACAUGCAGUCGAGCGGACAGAUGGGAGCUUGCUCCCUGAUGUUAGCGGCGGACGGGUGAGUAACACGUGGGUAACCUGCCUGUAAGACUGGGAUAACUCCGGGAAACCGGGGCUAAUACCGGAUGGUUGUUUGAACCGCAUGGUUCAAACAUAAAAGGUGGCUUCGGCUACCCCUUACAGAUGGACCCGCGGCGCAUUAGCUAGUUGGGGGAGGUAACGGCUCACCAAGGCAACGAUGCGUACCCGACCUGGAGAGGUUGAUCGGGCCACACUGGGGACUGAGACACGGCCCAGACUCCCUACGGGAGGGCAGCAGUAGGGAAUCUUCCCGCAAUGAACGAAAGUCUGACGGAGCAACCCCCGCGUGAGUGAUGAAGGUUUUCGGAUCGUAAAGCUCUGUUGUUAGGAAAGAACAAGUACCGUUCGAAUAGGGCGGUACCUUGACGGUACCUAACAGAAAAGCACGGCUAAUUACGUGCAGCAGCGCGGUAAUACGUAGUGGAAGCGUGUCGGAAUAUUGGCUAAGGGUUGCGCGCGCGUUUUCUUAAGUCUAUGUGAAAGCCCCGGUCACCGGGGAGGUCAUUGAAACUGGGACUGAUGCAGAGAGAGAGUGGAAUUC